CAUCGCUACAAACACCAGCCAGCAAAUUCUUGCUCCGCACUCUUACAAAGAAGUAGCUUAUUAUUUUACAGCUAUAAAUACGGUAAAGACGGUUUUGAAGAUGCACACGUAGCAAUUUAAAAAUCAAAUAUGCUAAGCUUUGCGAUAUAUAGAAUCUAUCGAAAAAACCGUUUUAAGAUUUGAAACAUUAUGAAAAUUUAGUUUCCUGGGUUGUGAAACUUUCUGUUGUGUAAUUAUCAGCUACUGCUUCAUUGAAGUGUGCGGAACAUGGCUG